rnacentral:rRNA from 1 species
GAUGAACGCUGACAGAAUGCUUAACACAUGCAAGUCUUUGGCGAAGCUGUGCUUGCACAGCCUAGCCAGGCGGACGGGUGAGUAACGCGUAAGGGACUUGCCCUGCAGUCAGGGAUAACAGACGGAAACGACUGAUAAGACCUGGUAAAGUCAGGCGGACUCAUGUCCAGCCUGAUGAAAAGGAAUGCUGCAUGAGAGCCUUGCGUCCUAUUAGCUUGUUGGUGGGGUAACGGCCCACCAAGGCGAUGAUAGGUAGCCGGCCUGAGAGGGUGGACGGCCACAAGGGGACUGAGAUACUGCCCUUACUCCUACGGGAGGCAGCAGUGGGGAAUAUUGGACAAUGGGGGCAACCCUGAUCCAGCAAUUCUGUGUGCACGAGGAAGGUCUUCGGUGUGUAAAGUGCUUUCUGCUGGGAAAAAAAUAAUGACUGUACCAACGGAUGAGGUGACGGCUAAUUACGUGCCAUCAUCCGCGGUUAUACGUUUUUCGCGAGUUUAUUUUGUUUAUUGGGGGGAUGGGCGUUUAGGUGGUUUUGUAGUCUGAUGUGAAAUGGGUGGGCUAGUCUGUGUUUUUUGUGUGGAUUUUGUUUUGUUGAAUUGUGUUGGAUGUGUAGCUUAACUUGUGUUUUAUGUUGUAAUGUCGUUGUGUUUUGGUGCUUGCCGAUGGGGAUGUGCCUUUAGUGCAUCUGAUUUUUUUGAAAGUGUGAAUCUUUUUUUGUUGUGUGAUUAUUUCCUUGGAGCUUGCGUGGCGGUGUCCCUCCUGUGAUUUAUUUUUUGUUGUGUGGUGGCUGUGGGGUGGAUGACUAUAUAUAAUAUGAUUUUUGUUGUGUGUGUGUGAUGCUUGUUGUUGGGUGUGUUUGUGUGUGUGUGUGCUGUGUUGCUGUA